rnacentral:rRNA from 1 species
CACGUAGGGGGCGAGCGUUGUCCGGAUUUAUUGGGCGUAAAGAGCUCGUAGGCGGCUUGGUAAGUCAGGUGUGAAACCUCCAGGCUCAACCUGGAGACGCCACUUGAUACUGCCAUAGCUAGAGUCCGGUAGGGGAGCGUGGAAUUUCUGGUGUAGCGGUGAAAUGCGCAGAUAUCAGGAGGAACACCGGUGGCGAAGGCGGUUCUCUGGGCAUUACCUGACGCUGAGGAGCGAAAGCGUGGGGAGCAAACAGG